rnacentral:rRNA from 1 species
GACGAACGCUGGCGGCGUGCCUAACACAUGCAAGUCGAGCGAUGAAAUCCCUUCGGGGAUGGAUUAGCGGCGGACGGGUGAGUAACACGUGGGUAACCUGCCUCAAAGUGGGGGAUAGCCUUCCGAAAGGAAGAUUAAUACCGCAUAAUAUUAGAUUUUCGCAUGAAGAACUAAUUAAAGGAGUAAUCCGCUUUGAGAUGGACCCGCGGCGCAUUAGCUAGUUGGUGAGGUAAUAGCUCACCAAGGCGACGAUGCGUAGCCGACCUGAGAGGGUGAUCGGCCACAUUGGAACUGAGACACGGUCCAGACUCCUACGGGAGGCAGCAGUGGGGAAUAUUGCACAAUGGGGGAAACCCUGAUGCAGCAACGCCGCGUGAGUGAUGAAGGUCUUCGGAUUGUAAAGCUCUGUCUUUUGGGACGAUAAUGACGGUACCAAAGGAGGAAGCCACGGCUAACUACGUGCCAGCCGCCGCCGUAAUAC